rnacentral:rRNA from 2 species
CCCCGGUAAACGGCGGCCGUAACUAUAACGGUCCUAAGGUAGCGAAAUUCCUUGUCGGGUAAGUUCCGACCUGCACGAAUGGCGUAAUGAUGGCCAGGCUGUCUCCACCCGAGACUCAGUGAAAUUGAACUCGCUGUGAAGAUGCAGUGUACCCGCGGCAAGACGGAAAGACCCCGUGAACCUUUACUAUAGCUUGACACUGAACAUUGAGCCUUGAUGUGUAGGAUAGGUGGGAGGCUUUGAAGUGUGGACGCCAGUCUGCAUGGAGCCGACCUUGAAAUACCACCCUUUAAUGUUUGAUGUUCU